rnacentral:rRNA from 1 species
ACGCUCGACACCUACGGGAGCAGCAGUCGGGAAUAUUGCGCAAUGGAGGAAACUCUGACGCAGUGACGCCGCGUAUAGGAAGAAGGUUUUCGGAUUGUAAACUAUUGUCGUUAGGGAAGAAAAAAGACAGUACCUAAGGAGGAAGCUCCGGCUAACUACGUGCCNNNCGCCGUAGUAUNGCGGCGNGNGACGAG